CUCUCUCUCCCUCCAUUAGUUCUUGUGUAUCUGAUCCAAUUAAGAGUAUUAUGUGUCGUGUUGACCUGAUGAGUUCUUCAUUCUUAUCAUCUUUCAAAUCAGAUUUAUUUGAAUCUCCUGAUAACUUUGCUCUUGUUCGUCUCCAGCUCACUAAGUCAUUAUAUUACAAGUUAUUAACGUUAAUUAUCACUGAUGAGGAGAAGAAGCAAAAACUAUCAACCAACAAGCAGCUGUCAAUACAGCUGGUGAUUUUUGAAUGGUAAAAUUUUAGCGAGGUUAAAAGGCUUCAGUUGGCAGGUUUUGAAUGUACAUGUACAGUGUACAUAUACAUGUUGUACAUGUACAUAUAUGUACAACUAUGAAGUAACUAUACUUCAUAGUUGGAGUACCAGUAUCCAUUUUACUUUGCUACUCUACAGUGUAGCACAUCAGAGGAUACUGUAGUCCUUCACAGUCAUGUGUACUGUACUAAAAAGUUUUGUAUAUACAUGUACUUAUACAAAACAAUGUAAAUACUGUUUUGUCUUAAAUACUGUGAGUAUUUGUUAGUUUUGUGUAUGUGUACUGUACUAUUGACACUGACACACUCCACAACCUGUCAAAGAAGUUGAAGAUGCUUCUCUUGUCUUUAUGUGUUGUCCCAGUUCAUUUGUACUGUCACUCUCUCUUUUUAGAAGCUCAUUUAGGACAUUCUUCACUCCAUUCUACUGUCUAUCUACUGUCUACUGCAGAUCAACCUUUUUUAAAAUUUCUCACCUCUUUGCUUAAGGAAAGUAUCACUAUAGCGAAGAAAAAAAAUGAUAUUAACUAUUUCAACAUUUUCUUCCUUGAGUAUUUUUCAGAAUUUUGGCGUUUUCUUAAAAUGGCCUUAACUGAAAAAAUUGAAGUCGGAAUCAGCUCAA